UACGUAGGGUGCGAGCGUUGUCCGGAAUUAUUGGGCGUAAAGAGCUCGUAGGCGGUCUGUCGCGUCGAUCGUGAAAACUUGGGGCUUAACCCUGAGCUUGCGGUCGAUACGGGCAUGACUGGAGUUCGGCAGGGGAGACUGGAAUUCCUGGUGUAGCGGUGAAAUGCGCAGAUAUCAGGAGGAACACCGGUGGCGAAGGCGGGUCUCUGGGCCGGAACUGCCGCUAAGGAGCGAAAGCGUGGGGAGCGAACAGG
rnacentral:rRNA from 1 species